UUAAGCGAACAAGCGUACACGGUGGAUGCCCUGGCAGUCAGAGGCGAUGAAGGACGUGCUAAUCUGCGAAAAGCGCCGGUAAGGUGAUAUGAACCGUUACAGCCGGCGAUGUCCGAAUGGGGAAACCCAGUGUGAUUCGUCACACUAUCUCAGCAUGAAUACAUAGUGCUGUGAGGCGAACCGGGGGAACUGAAACAUCUAAGUACCCCGAGGAAAAGAAAUCAACCGAGAUUCCCCCAGUAGCGGCGAGCGAACGGGGAACAGCCCAGAGCCUGAAUCAGCUUGUGUGUCAGUGGAACGGUCUGGAAAGGCCGGCGAUACAGGGUGACAGCCCCGUACACGAAGGCACACAGGCUGUGAGCUCGAUGAGUAGGGCGGGACACGUGAUAUCCUGUCUGAAGAUGGGGGGACCAUCCUCCAAGGCUAAAUACUCCUGACUGACCGAUAGUGAACCAGUACCGUGAGGGAAAGGCGAAAAGAACCCCGGCGAGGGGAGUGAAACAGAACCUGAAACCGUGUACGUACAAGCAGUGGGAGCCUUCGUAAGAGGGUGACUGCGUACCUUUUGUAUAAUGGGUCAGCGACUUAUAUUCUGUAGCAAGGUUAACCGUAUAGGGGAGCCGAAGGGAAACCGAGUCUUAAUUGGGCGUUAAGUUGCAGGGUAUAGACCCGAAACCCGGUGAUCUAGCCAUGGGCAGGUUGAAGGUUGGGUAACACUAACUGGAGGACCGAACCGACUAAUGUUGAAAAAUUAGCGGAUGACCUGUGGCUGGGGGUGAAAGGCCAAUCAAACCGGGAGAUAGCUGGUUCUCCCCCGAAAGCUAUUUAGGUAGCGCCUCGUGAACUCAUCUUCGGGGGUAGAGCACUGUUUCGGCUAGGGGGCCAUCCCGGCUUACCAACCCGAUGCAAACUACGAAUACCGAAGAAUGUUAUCACGGGAGACACACGGCGGGUGCUAACGUCCGUCGUGAAGAGGGAAACAACCCAGACCGCCAGCUAAGGUCCCAAAGUCAUGGUUAAGUGGGAAACGAUGUGGGAAGGCACAGACAGCCAGGAUGUUGGCUUAGAAGCAGCCAUCAUUUAAAGAAAGCGUAAUAGCUCACUGGUCGAGUCGGCCUGCGCGGAAGAUGUAACGGGGCUAAACCAUGCACCGAAGCUGCGGCAGCGACACUAUGUGUUGUUGGGUAGGGGAGCGUUCUGUAAGCCUGCGAAGGUGUGCUGUGAGGCAUGCUGGAGGUAUCAGAAGUGCGAAUGCUGACAUAAGUAACGAUAAAGCGGGUGAAAAGCCCGCUCGCCGGAAGACCAAGGGUUCCUGUCCAACGUUAAUCGGGGCAGGGUGAGUCGACCCCUAAGGCGAGGCCGAAAGGCGUAGUCGAUGGGAAACAGGUUAAUAUUCCUGUACUUGGUGUUACUGCGAAGGGGGGACGGAGAAGGCUAUGUUGGCCGGGCGACGGUUGUCCCGGUUUAAGCGUGUAGGUGUGUGUUCCAGGUAAAUCCGGUUCACUUUAACACUGAGGCGUGAUGACGAUGCACUACGGUGCUGAAGUAACAAAUGCCCUGCUUCCAGGAAAAGCCUCUAAGCAUCAGGUAACAUCAAAUCGUACCCCAAACCGACACAGGUGGUCAGGUAGAGAAUACCAAGGCGCUUGAGAGAACUCGGGUGAAGGAACUAGGCAAAAUGGUGCCGUAACUUCGGGAGAAGGCACGCUGACAUGUAGGUGAAGCCCCUGCGGGUGGAGCUGAAGUCAGUCGAAGAUACCAGCUGGCUGCAACUGUUUAUUAAAAACACAGCACUGUGCAAACACGAAAGUGGACGUAUACGGUGUGACGCCUGCCCGGUGCCGGAAGGUUAAUUGAUGGGGUUAUCGCAAGAGAAGCUCCUGAUCGAAGCCCCGGUAAACGGCGGCCGUAACUAUAACGGUCCUAAGGUAGCGAAAUUCCUUGUCGGGUAAGUUCCGACCUGCACGAAUGGCGUAAUGAUGGCCAGGCUGUCUCCACCCGAGACUCAGUGAAAUUGAACUCGCUGUGAAGAUGCAGUGUACCCGCGGCAAGACGGAAAGACCCCGUGAACCUUUACUACAGCUUGACACUGAACAUUGAGCCUUGAUGUGUAGGAUAGGUGGGAGGCUUUGAAGCGUGGACGCCAGUCUGCGUGGAGCCAACCUUGAAAUACCACCCUUUAAUGUUUGAUGUUCUAACCUGGCGCCCUAAUCGGGCGUGGGGACAGUGUCUGGUGGGUAGUUUGACUGGGGCGGUCUCCUCCCAAAGUGUAACGGAGGAGCACGAAGGUCAGCUAAUCCUGGUCGGACAUCAGGAGGUUAGUGCAAUGGCAUAAGCUGGCUUGACUGCGAGAGUGACGGCUCGAGCAGGUGCGAAAGCAGGUCAUAGUGAUCCGGUGGUUCUGUAUGGAAGGGCCAUCGCUCAACGGAUAAAAGGUACUCCGGGGAUAACAGGCUGAUACCGCCCAAGAGUUCAUAUCGACGGCGGUGUUUGGCACCUCGAUGUCGGCUCAUCACAUCCUGGGGCUGAAGUAGGUCCCAAGGGUAUGGCUGUUCGCCAUUUAAAGUGGUACGCGAGCUGGGUUUAGAACGUCGUGAGACAGUUCGGUCCCUAUCUGCCGUGGGCGCUGGAGAAUUGAGGGGGGCUGCUCCCAGUACGAGAGGACCGGAGUGGACGCAUCACUGGUGUUCGGGUUGUCAUGCCAAUGGCACUGCCCGGUAGCUAAAUGCGGAAGAGAUAAGUGCUGAAAGCAUCUAAGCACGAAACUUGCCCCGAGAUGAGUUCUCCCUGAGACUAUAAGUCUCCUGAAGGAACGUUGAAGACGACGACGUUGAUAGGCCGGGUGUGUAAGCGCAGCGAUGCGUUGAGCUAACCGGUACUAAUGAACCGUGAGGCUUAACCUU
rnacentral:rRNA from 1 species